rnacentral:rRNA from 1 species
CGCUGGCGGCGUGCUUAACACAUGCGAGUCGAACGAUGAAGCCUAGCUUGCUAGGUGGAUUAGUGGCGAACGGGUGAGUAAUACGUGAGUAACCUACCUUUAACUCUGGGAUAAGCCUGGGAAACUGGGUCUAAUACCGGAUACGACCAAUCUCCGCAUGGGGUGUUGGUGGAAAGCGUUAUGUAGUGGUUAUAGAUGGGCUCACGGCCUAUCAGCUUGUUGGUGAGGUAACGGCUCACCAAGGCGACGACGGGUAGCCGGCCUGAGAGGGUGACCGGCCACACUGGGACUGAGACACGGCCCAGACUCCUACGGGAGGCAGCAGUGGGGAAUAUUGCACAACGGGCGCAAGCCUGAUGCAGCGACGCCGCGUGAGGGAUGACGGCCCUCGGGUUGUAAACCUCUGUUAGCAGGGAAGAAGAGAGAUUGACGGUACCUGCAGAGAAAGCGCCGGCUAACUACGUGCCAGCAGCCGCGGUAAUACGUAGGGCGCGAGCGUUGUCCGGAAUUAUUGGGCGUAAAGAGCUUGUAGGGCGGUUUGUCGCGUCUGCUGUGAAAGGCCGGAGCUUAACUCCGUGUAUUGCAGUGGGUACGGGCAGACUAGAGUGCAGUAGGGGAGACUGGAAUUCCUGGUGUAGCGGUGGAAUGCGCAGAUAUCAGGAGGAACACCGAUGGCGAAGGCAGGUCUCUGGGCUGUAACUGACGCUGAGAAGCGAAAGCAUGGGGAGCGAACAGGAUUAGAUACCCUGGUAGUCCAUGCCGUAAACGUUGGGCACUAGGUGUGGGGGACAUUCCACGUUUUCCGCGCCGUAGCUAACGCAUUAAGUGCCCCGCCUGGGGAGUACGGCCGCAAGGCUAAAACUCAAAGAAAUUGACGGGGGCCCGCACAAGCGGCGGAGCAUGCGGAUUAAUUCGAUGCAACGCGAAGAGCCUUACCAAGGCUUGACAUAUACUGGACUGCAUCAGAGAUGGUGUUUCCCUUCGGGGCUGGUAUACAGGUGGUGCAUGGUUGUCGUCAGCUCGUGUCGUGAGAUGUUGGGUUAAGUCCCGCAACGAGCGCAACCCUCGUUCUAUGUUGCCAGCACGUUAUGGUGGGGACUCAUAGGAGACUGCCGGGGUCAACUCGGAGGAAGGUGGGGAUGACGUCAAAUCAUCAUGCCCCUUAUGUCUUGGGCUUCACGCAUGCUACAAUGGCCGGUACAGAGGGUUGCGAUACUGCGAGGUGGAGCUAAUCCCUAAAAGCCGGUCUCAGUUCGGAUUGGGGUCUGCAACUCGACCCCAUGAAGUCGGAGUCGCUAGUAAUCGCAGAUCAGCAACGCUGCGGUGAAUACGUUCCCGGGCCU